UACGUAGGGUGCAAGCGUUGUCCGGAAUUAUUGGGCGUAAAGAGCUCGUAGGCGGUUAGUCACGUCGGCUGUGAAAACCUGGGGCUCAACCCCGGGCCUGCAGCCGAUACGGGCUAGCUAGAGUUCGGCAGGGGAGACUGGAAUUCCUGGUGUAGCGGUGAAAUGCGCAGAUAUCAGGAGGAACACCGGUGGCGAAGGCGGGUCUCUGGGCCGAUACUGACGCUGAGACGCGAAAGCGUGGGGAGCGAACAGG
rnacentral:rRNA from 1 species